rnacentral:rRNA from 1 species
AUGACCUCGGAUCAGUAGAUCCC